AGACAUAUCUCUUUUUUUUCCCAAUAUUUGGGAUGAAACAAUGAUAUACAGUUACCUGUUUUGUAUACGAGCCAGCAAGGAAGAAGUUCUUCACAGGUGUCUUUUGAUCAGGUCUGAAGGGGUCUUUACCAGGUCCCUCACGGUACAAAGAUUGCCCGAUUUUGACAACAGAUGACCAAAUAACUUCUAAACCUUGGGAUGAUGGAAAUAGAGCUAAAACCUAAUAAAAUGAACCAUGAAUGGAUAAUUUGUACUGAUGUAUGUUAUCCAGAAAGUUGCAUGACCUUUUGUGGUACUCAGGUCACUAAAAAAAACGUGAGAUAAACAUCUAGGAUAAGAAAACCAAAAAUAGUAACCUAAUAUGUAUUAUAUGAAUUGAAGGUGUCACUGAACGCUACCAACCUGCUUUGCCACUCUCCUUAUGAUUUCAUCAUUUGGUAAGGGCAUGUAAGGAUCGCCAGGCGUCAAAACACAUCUGCAAGAUAAUAUGGUUAUAGUGAGAAACACAGAAUACAAAGACACUUGGCAAAAGGAAGUCAACCAGAUUCCAUGCACAAAAUGAAACUAAAAACGACAAGGAUUAGAAAUUUUUCUUACUGGAGUAAUGAACCUUGCCCUUCUCUGUAGUAGUCUUCUGGUGAAGUGAGUGCUAGAUCUGCAAAGCAAGAGAAAUCUGCAUCUGGAGUAUACAAAAGGUUAUCUAACCCCAGAGCUUGCCUCAAUUGCCUACAUGUUCAAAACAAGGAUCUGUUAAAAAAUGGAAAUUUCUUCAAUGCCUUAGUAAAGGGAAGUGAAGUGAAAGCAUUUUAAUUAUUUAUGUUAUUUUUGAAUAAUGGAUAAGGUAUCUUAUGGUGUUAAUAUAAGUAUGUAAUUACAUUUAACUUACUUAUUUAUUAGUAAUGUCAUAUUUAUAAAUUUUUUAAUUAAAUAAAUAUUUUUUUAAAGAUUGGCGAAUUUUUACGGAUUUACAAAAGUAAAUCCAUAUCCAAUCCACCGCUUGUGGAUUUUUAAAUUUUUAAUCCAAUUCAAUCCACCAAUCCACGGAUAAGAUUUUUACGAACCAAAUUUUUACGGAUCGGACGAAUUGAGCUGAUCGAACCGGAUUCUGAACACCCCUACUAUUGGGUUUCACUUUGUUUUACAUGAAUUUGGGAAAAAUACACGGAUAGACAAGGGAACAGUCAUUGUUAAGCUGUGAAGCUUGUGGAAGAUACCAUUGCCUAUUUGCAGCUUAAACUCCUGGAGCUUUGCUCAUGCUUUCUCUUUCCCACUUUCUCAUGGAACAGAUGUAUACAUCAUGAAAUGAAAACAACAGCACAAAUUGCUGUCUCGUAAGAGAAACAGUCAUACAUAGUAGGUUAGGCCUCAUGUCCAUUAACUUACUAAUGAAUUUUAUGAAAAUUGGCUAUCUCAUUGAAAUUACAUAGGUAUUGGAAACCCUUACUCCAGCUGCAUCAUCUCAUCAGUGAAAGCUGGAUUUUCCAUUUGUUCUUGAGAUUCAUAUUAAGGCAGCAAAUUGCUCAUCCCAUACUAUCUAUGUAAUCCUGUAAAAGGGAAGGGCGUUUAGAUGUGGAAAAACCUUACUCCUGCCGCUGCACCUCAAACAGAUUGCGAUCACACAAGACUUAGUUCAUCAUUAGUAGUAGUUGGAGCUUCCAUUUGUUCUUGAGAUUCAAAGGCAGCAAGCUGCUUCCUCAGUGCUACUAAUUCUUCCCCGGCAUUGCAUAUGUAGGCUGAGGCUUGUCUACCAGACAAAGUUGCUCCUUCCAUACUAUCUAUGUAAUCCUGUGAGAGUGAAACCAUUUAGGAGACAUAUCUCUUUUUUUUCCCAAUAUUUGGGAUGAAACAAUGAUAUACAGUUACCUGUUUUGUAUACGAGCCAGCAAGGAAGAAGUUCUUCACAGGUGUCUUUUGAUCAGGUCUGAAGGGGUCUUUACCAGGUCCCUCACGGUACAAAGAUUGCCCGAUUUUGACAACAGAUGACCAAAUAACUUCUAAACCUUGGGAUGAUGGAAAUAGAGCUAAAACCUAAUAAAAUGAACCAUGAAUGGAUAAUUUGUACUGAUGUAUGUUAUCCAGAAAGUUGCAUGACCUUUUGUGGUACUCAGGUCACUAAAAAAAACGUGAGAUAAACAUCUAGGAUAAGAAAACCAAAAAUAGUAACCUAAUAUGUAUUAUAUGAAUUGAAGGUGUCACUGAACGCU
rnacentral:lncRNA from 1 species